rnacentral:rRNA from 1 species
AUUGAACGCUGGCGGCAUGCCUUACACAUGCAAGUCGAACGGCAGCACGGACUUCGGUCUGGUGGCGAGUGGCGAACGGGUGAGUAAAGCAUCGGAACGUACCCGGAAGUGGGGGAUAACGUAGCGAAAGUUACGCUAAUACCGCAUAUUCUGUGCGCAGGAAAGAGGGGGAUCUUCGGACCUCUUGCUUUCGGAGCGGCCGAUGUCAGAUUAGCUAGUUGGUGGGGUAAAGGCCUACCAAGGCGACGAUCUGUAGCGGGUCUGAGAGGAUGAUCCGCCACACUGGGACUGAGACACGGCCCAGACUCCUACGGGAGGCAGCAGUGGGGAAUUUUGGACAAUGGGCGCAAGCCUGAUCCAACCAUGCCGCGUGAGUGAAGAAGGCCUUCGGGUUGUAAAGCUCUUUCGGCCGGGAAGAAAUCGCACCAGUUAAUACCUGGUGUGGAUGACGGUACCGGAAUAAGAAGCACCGGCUAACUACGUGCCAGCCGCCGCCGUAAAAC